rnacentral:rRNA from 1 species
UACGAAGGGGGCGAGCGUUGUUCGGAUUUACUGGGCGUAAAGGGCGCGUAGGCGGCAUGACAAGUCACUUGUGAAAUCUCUGGGCUUAACCCAGAACGGCCAAGUGAUACUGCAGUGCUAGAGUGCAGAAAGGGCAAUCGGAAUUCUUGGUGUAGCGGUGAAAUGCGUAGAUAUCAAGAGGAACACCUGAGGCGAAGGCGGGUUGCUAGGCUGACACUGACGCUGAGGCGCGAAAGCCAGGGGAGCAAACGGG